rnacentral:rRNA from 1 species
AUUGAACGCUGGCGGCAGGCCUAACACAUGCAAGUCGAACGGUAACAGGAAGAUGCUUGCUUCUUUGCUGACGAGUGGCGGACGGGUGAGUAAUGUCUGGGAAACUGCCUGAUGGAGGGGGAUAACUACUGGAAACGGUAGCUAAUACCGCAUAACGUCGCAAGCCCAAAGAGGGGGACCUUCGGGCCUCUUGCCAUCGGAUGUGCCCAGAUGGUAUUAGCUAGUAGGUGGGGUAACGGCUCACCUAGGCGACGAUCCCUAGCUGGUCUGAGAGGAUGAACAGCCACACUGGAACUGAGACACGGUCCAGACUCCGACGGGAGGCAGCAGUGGGGAAUAUUGCACAAUGGGCGGAAGCCUGAUGCAGCCAUGCCGCGUGUAUGAAGAAGGCCUGCGGGUUGUAAAGUACUUUCAGCGGGGAGGAAGGGAGUAAAGUUAAUACCUUUACUCAUGGACGUUACCCGCAGAAGAAGCACCGGCAAACUCCGG